rnacentral:rRNA from 1 species
UACGAAGGGGGCUAGCGUUGCUCGGAAUCACUGGGCGUAAAGCGCACGUAGGCGGACUUUUAAGUCGGAGGUGAAAUCCUGGAGCUCAACUCCAGAACUGCCUUCGAUACUGAGAGUCUUCGAGUUCGGGAGAGGUGAGUGGAACUGCGAGUGUAGAGGUGAAAUUCGUAGAUAUUCGCAAGAACACCAGUGGCGAAGGCGGCUCACUGGCCCGAUACUGACGCUGAGGUGCGAAAGUGUGGGGAGCAAACAGG